CAAUGAUGUGUGAGAUCGUGGACACCAAAAUUGGUGAGGAGAAGGCUGUUACAAUUUCCAUGGAUGAUGGAAUUUGUCCAAACACAAAUACGACUAUUUGGCAAAAAUGAAGCCUGCAUUCAAGAAGGAUGAAUCCACGAUUGCUGGGAAUGCUACCCAGGUGAGUGAUGGUGCUAGAGCGGUCCUGCUCAUGAAGAGAAGUCUUGCUAUGCAGAAGGGACUUCCAAUUCUUGGUGUUUUUAGGUGUGAGCAAUAUAUACGAGAAGGGCAGCUAUUGGAGGGAUGCUACUUUAGCACAUAAAGCUGAGACUUUGGAAUUGUAGAGACAGCUUAGGCAACUGCAGACUCAGUAUGAUAUGCUUACUGGACAGGCUUCAGCAUUGAUCCAAGGAAAAAGGGCAUGAGUUGCAGCAACAUCUACUGUCAAUGGACAGCUUACUACUAUAGAUGAUAGCCUGUCAGCAAGAAAUUAGAGUUCUUGGAAGGAUGGCUUCUUCUACGGCUAAAGAGUUGGCUCAUUAUCAUUCAAGGGGUGGUAACGUGUCUUUUCCAUCCACUUUUGUCAUUUGUGCCCUAUUUUGGUUAUUUCAGGGGAUGGUAACAUGUCUUUUCCAUCCACUUUCGUCAUCAUUUUGGUUAUUUCUGUUGGCAAAUUUAUUUAUUUUAAUGUGAUAUGUAAAUUUUAAUGUAAUAAAAUUACUUUUAUCAUUUCCUUUGAAAGAUUUCUUAUGGUUAUUUGAAUCAGUGUUAUUAAAGGCGUGCCUAGGUGUGCACCUAGGCCCAAGUCCCAUCCAGGCCCAAGGUUUACGCCUUGUAGUGUUCCAGGCUAGGCGACUUCGAUAAGGCUCGCCUAGGCGUGCGCCUAUGCCCAAGUCUCGUCUAGGCCCAAGGUUUGCGCCUUCUUGUGUUCCAGACCAGGCGAUUGUGAUAAGGCGCUUGACUGGCCCAAGGCUUAUAUCUUGAGGACUUUUUUUGUUGUUGCUUUAAUUUGUUUUGUUUAAAAUUUGACUAUUGAUUUAAUAUGGUGCAGCUACAGAAGAUCCUUACUCUUAUUAAAGAUGCCAAUACGUUGGGCAUUUAACCCAAAAUCAAUGAUAGAAGAAAAACUAGCCCUAAUUCCUAAUCUCCAAAAAACACUAAAUGUUUAACAUUUUAUUUUGUUUAUGUUGACCACUAAAUUAUUUAAUUAUAUUAAAUUAUAUUUUUUUUUUCCGUACAAGGUACGCCUCACUUCGGUGAAGCCUGCGCCUCGCCUUGCGCCUUGAGCCUAGCCCUCAGGAGACCUUGGC